rnacentral:rRNA from 1 species
AGAGUUUGAUCCUGGCUCAGGAUGAACGCUAGCGGCAGGCUUAACACAUGCAAGUCGAGGGGUAACAGGGGAGCUUGCUCCCGCUGACGACCGGCAAACGGGUGCGGAACACGUACGCAACUUACCCUUAUCAUGGGGAUAGCCCGGAGAAAUCCGGAUUAAUACCCGAUAGUAUAAUUUAGAGGCAUCUUUAGAUUAUUAAAGAAUUUUGGAUAGGGAUGGGCGUGCGUAAGAUUAGGUAGUUGGCGGGGUAACGGCCCACCAAGCCAGCGAUCUUUAGCUGAUGUGAGAGCAUGAUCAGCCACACGGGCACUGAGACACGGGCCCGACUCCUACGGGAGGCAGCAGUGAGGAAUAUUGGUCAAUGGACGAAAGUCUGAACCAGCCAUGCCGCGUGAAGGAUGAAGGCGUUCUGCGUUGUAAACUUCUUUUAUCAGGGAAGGAACCACUGAUUUCUAUCGGUGUUGACGGUACCUGAGGAAUAAGCACCGGCUAACUCCGUGCCAGCCGCCGCGGUAAUAC